rnacentral:lncRNA from 1 species
UCUGGUUAGAGGAAUAGGCAGAUGUUUGUCUCUCAGUAAAGGAGAUCAUCCGUGCUUUGCACACUUGCCUUUCUUCUAGCUAUUUAAGCUUUUUCUGAUGCAGAUGCCACCCUGGAGCAUACCUUACUGUGAGCUUGUGAAGUGGCUCCUAGAACAUAUUUUCCGGCUAAGGUAGAAGAUGUUUCCUAGGGAGGACACCAGAACAGGAGAAAUAAAGUCAUAGAAAAAACAGUUCCUGGACCGGGAACCCAGGCCCAGCCCUGACACUGAGUCUCUCUGCUCCCAUGGACCAGGCACUUUUUCUCUCCAAACCUGUAAUCUAGAAAGUUUCUUUUCUAGUUCUAAAAAUCUGUGAUUCUAGGUACUGUGAAAACAAAAAAUAAGAAAGUAAGGGUAAAGAAAAUGGAGUGGAACGCUAAUAGAUGGGAAUUCAUUCAUUCACUUACUCAUUUAUUCAUUCAUUCUUCCUUUGUAUCUUCUAGCAAGAUGUCAUGGAGCCCCUAUUAAAUGAGAGGCGGGGACUGCUCACUCUCCCAGACAAGGGGGUGAGGAAAAAGGAUCACUAUUUGCUAGCACCAAGUAAAGCCCACCGUUGUCCACUGUGCAGUUAAUUCGGACCAGUGCAGGUAGCCAGAUGACAGACUGAGAGCUGGAUUCACAGGUUCCAUUCACUCAUCUCUAUAUUUCAAUGUGACCCUGAAGCAACAGAGGCUAAAAUAAGAGCAAUAGGAAAAAUCACCCCUGUUUAAAAAUAAAUGAUGAAUACAAACCUCACACCAUAUUGGAUUCCAAAGACCACAGAACUGCCAUGCCAGAACCAAAAAGAUAAGGCAGCAACAUAUACAGGAUAGAGCUUGAACUAGAAAUCUGGGUUGUUGCCCGUGAUCUGUCACCAACUACAACAUUGGUGUAGCUCUGAUCAAGGUACCUUCCAUCUCUGAGUCUUAGUCUCCUGUUCUUUAAAGUCUGGCCUGAGCUUAAACUGGAUUUUCUCCAAGGCCUCUUCCAGGUCUAAUGUUACAUGAUCGGUCGCUGAUAUUAUUCCAUAAGGUAGUAUUCCCUUCUAAAAACAGCAAAACACAAAUUCCUCAAAGCCAAAGGCAACACCUUUGUUUCCUUUGCAUGGCUGAUUAAAUUAAUGCAAACCAAGCAGGCUUUCACCGGAGAGCCUGGGAAAUUGCCGGAUAUUUGGGGAAGAUUACUGAGGUUAGUGCACAGUUGUCUUUGGCUAAGAUGUGCAGUCCUUCAGAGUUUUCUUGGAGUUUUGAUUAAGCAUAAAAUAGAGAAGCUCAAGCUAUGUAGACUCUCUAACCAAAAAUGCUUCUCAAGAAGGGCUCUUUUAUCACUUGCUAUAAGGGAGGUAUAUUUAUUCUUUGAAUCAUUUUUUAUAUCUCCAUUCCAUUCUUUGUGGUCGCAUAAAGCACACACAUCUAUUUACAGCCCUUCAAGGUAAGUACAAUCGUCCCCCUUUUAUAGAUGAGGAAAACAGGACUAACAGACAUGAGCUAAUUGGCCCAAACUGGAAAAUUGAAAUCCAGGUCUUACUGAUUCAAAAGCCUGAGCUUUUCCACAAAAUCAAUGGUUCCCAAGUAAUUCAUUCUAAAACUAAUGCUUGAGACACAUAUGAAUUUGGAGGAACCUUAGGAAUCCCUGUAUUAGCCACACAAAAGAAUAGCAGGGCUUCCUGGGCCCAUGGAAGAAGGUGACAAAGAAUAAAGGUGGAAUAUAAUGUCCGUGCUACAUCACAUAUGACAUGCUCUGACUUAGGACGCUUAAAAUUGGGAGCCUAAUUUUUGGUCUUGCUUCUCUAGCCCAUUAUUUCUAAAAAUAACACAUUUUUACUUUUCUAUAUUUCACAGGAUAUGGCAGAGUCUCCUUGAGAAAAACAAAGCAAAGAUGCUUUGCAAGUAAAUAUAUGCUGAAUGAAUGAAUUACCACAAGUUAUUCAUUCUCUGUUCAUUAAUUAAUGUUGCUUCAUUCAUCAGCUGCAUUGUCCAAUUUACUUUAGCAGACCGGCUGUCAUCAACUCCAGAGAGCUUAUGAAGGGUUGAGAUAAUUAGUCUCAAUACCCUUAAGGAGAAGUGGAGGUACAGUCUUGCUCUCUUGAAGAAUUGCACACUAAGAAACCACAAACCAGCAUCUAACGAGAUGGAAAUUCUGCAGCAGGCUGCCUGCCGCCCGAUGUGCCCAGCAGAGCCGGCUUAAAAUGCAGGAAACACCUGUGGUAUAUUCUAAGAGGGCCCCUUCCCCUUAAAAUAAUCUCUUCCCCAUUAGCCUCUGGCAAUACUUGGCAUGCUGCCAUUCAUUUCUUGUGCCGAUAAUGGUUUUUUUCCUGGAAUAGGAGCGAUUGACAUGACAAGAACUGAGAUGGGGCAGUUCUGAUACAACUGACAAAGAAUUAGCAGUACAGAGCAUGAGACCCUGCAUAAAGACAAAUGGGAGAAGCCGAAGCGCAAGGUGUCAGCAGGUUUCGUCUCUUCUGAGGCCUCUCUCCUUGGCUUGCAGAUGGCCUCCUUCUCGCUGUGUCCUCACGUGGCCUUUUUUCUCCAUGUGCGUGCAUCCGUCGUGUCUCUCUUAUUCUUGGAAGAAAAACAUGUGCCUUCUGCUAACUGUCUGGUGUGUCCAGUUCUGAAUGUCAAGACCAAGUCCUGAAAAUGGGUACUGGGGACGACUUAAGAGGUGAGUCAAGGUGGGUCUCACCCACUGGAUCAGAGGGGGCUUCUCCACCACUGGGAGCAAAAACCUGUCUUCUACAGAUGGCAGAGCAGAGAAUGUUCCCCUUUCAAGAAGGCCCACUUAACUUGAUUUUUUUUCUUAAAGCUUUUCAUUCCCUCACUCAGCAUUUGUCAAGCACCUUGUAUGUGUCAAGCUGAUGAUAGGCAUUGAUGCUACACAGAUGGUUAUAACCUGGUCCAGCAAAAUCUCUUGCUGUCUGGUAGGGACCAGGCAAAUACAAAUGGAUGAGUUAAAGUCCUGCAUAAUAGAUACCUCAUUGGAACUAUGAACCAAUGACUCCAGAGAAAGAGCCACACCUGACUGCCUGUCAUCUUCUGACAGAGGAUGUCAUGUUGUAUGCGGUGUGAUCAUCUACCAAGAUCCUAGGACCAAUUAUAUGGCUCAUUGACCUGCACGGGUACCUGGAACUUCAGCUCAAACAUUUACGAUAACCAAGCAUCCAAAAGCUAUGAAAACACAGAACUGGCAGCCAAUCCAUUAAAUCACUCAAACAUCUAUUAACUAGCAAUUGUAUAAAAUUUGCUGGAUUUGAGCACUGUAAGGGUAUAGAAGGGCAAAUGAAGAUCAAUAACAGGAGAGGAAAGAGAAGAGUAAAACAGUUAGCAUCUGUUGAUGGCCAGGCAUCAUAUUAAGUAUUUCAUAUAUAUUAUUUAAUUCUGAAAGGAUCUUUUUGUAAGUUAAGAAGCUGAGGUGACAUGAGUUGCUCAAGUUCACACAGACAGCAAAGGGUGAGCCAUUGCAAUGCAAAGCCCAUGUCCAAUUCCUCACUCCUUGCUACUCUAGCAAGAGUUCUGGGGGUAAGUUUUGUAAGGAGAGAAAGAAAAGAGAGAAAAUCCUUGACAGUAAGUGAAGCAAAAGCCUGGAUAUCUGAAUGGGAGGAGACACCGUUGCAGAGCCCAUCCGUCCUGAUUUUCCCAGAGGCACGGGAGCAGAGCACGUCCCCACCGAACCUAAGCACGCGGAAAGAUGCCCACAGAUUGCUGCAUUUGUAUUUUUACUGAGCCAGCAUUGAGGAAUUCCACAGACACAUAUGUUGUGUACAUACGUGGGCUAUCACUUUUUAGGUGGAUGUACGUGUUAGGAUUAUCGAAAUAAGCAUCCAUUUAAAAGAAUGAU